CGUAAUCCGGAUCGAGGACAGUGUAUGGUGGGCAGUUUGACUGGGGCGGUCUCCUCCUAAAGAGUAACGGAGGAGUACGAAGGUGCGCUCAGACCGGUCGGAAAUCGGUCGCAGAGUAUAAAGGCAAAAGCGCGCUUGACUGCGAGACAGACACGUCGAGCAGGUACGAAAGUAGGUCUUAGUGAUCCGGUGGUUCUGUAUGGAAGGGCCAUCGCUCAACGGA
rnacentral:rRNA from 1 species